AUACGUAGGUGGCAAGCGUUAUCCGGAUUUACUGGGUGUAAAGGGCGUGUAGGCGGGACUGCAAGUCAGAUGUGAAAAUUAUGGGCUCAACCCAUAACCUGCAUUUGAAACUGUGGUUCUUGAGUGAUGGAGAGGCAGGCGGAAUUCCGUGUGUAGCGGUGAAAUGCGUAGAUAUUAGGAAGAACACCAGUGGCGAAGGCGGCUCUCUGGUCUGCAACUGACGCUGAGGCUCGAAAGCAUGGGUAGC
rnacentral:rRNA from 1 species